ACGAACGCUGGCGGCGUGCUUAACACAUGCCAGUCGAACGGAAAGGCCCUGCUUUUGUGGGGUGCUCGAGUGGCGAACGGGUGAGUAACACGUGAGUAACCUGCCCUUGACUUUGGGAUAACUUCAGGAAACUGGGGCUAAUACCGGAUAGGAGCUCCUGCUGCAUGGUGGGGGUUGGAAAGUUUCGGCGGUUGGGGAUGGACUCGCGGCUUAUCAGCUUGUUGGUGGGGUAGUGGCCUACCAAGGCUUUGACGGGUAGCCGGCCUGAGAGGGUGACCGGCCACAUUGGGACUGAGAUACGGCCCAGACUCCUACGGGAGGCAGCAGUGGGGAAUAUUGCACAAUGGGCGGAAGCCUGAUGCAGCAACGCCGCGUGCGGGAUGACGGCCUUCGGGUUGUAAACCGCUUUCGCCUGUGACGAAGCGUGAGUGACGGUAAUGGGUAAAGAAGCACCGGCUAACUACGUG
rnacentral:rRNA from 1 species